AUUGAACGCUGGCGGCAGGCCUAACACAUGCAAGUCGAGCGGAUGAAGGGAGCUUGCUCCUGGAUUCAGCGGCGGACGGGUGAGUAAUGCCUAGGAAUCUGCCUGGUAGUGGGGGAUAACGUCCGGAAACGGGCGCUAAUACCGCAUACGUCCUGAGGGAGAAAGUGGGGGAUCUUCGGACCUCACGCUAUCAGAUGAGCCUAGGUCGGAUUAGCUAGUUGGUGGGGUAAAGGCCUACCAAGGCGACGAUCCGUAACUGGUCUGAGAGGAUGAUCAGUCAACCGGGAACUGAGAAAGGGUCCAAAUUCCUAGGGGAGGGAGGAGUGGGAAAUUUUGGACAAUGGGCGAAAGCCUGAUCCAGCCAGGCCGGGUGUGUGAAGAAGGUUUUCGGAUUGUAAAGCAUUUUAAGUGGGGAGGAAGGGCAGUAAGUUAAUACCUUGCUGUUUUGACGUUACCAACAGAAAAAGCACCGGCAAACUUCGU
rnacentral:rRNA from 1 species